GUAUAAAUAGGUGCUGGUGAAAUCCUUUCUUCAGAACUAUAUCAGAAUCUCAGCCUCAGGAGGAACUAGUACCAACAAGAAAAGCAAACAUGGGUGGAGAAGAAUCAAAACCAUCACCACCACCACCCCCAACACCAACACCACCCCCACCACCACCCCCACCAAAGGAAUUUGACCAACAAUGGAGGAAAACAUGUUGGAGUAAAGGAGACAGAGACCACAUGGUGGAUGAACUGAGGAGCUUUAAACUGAGUGAUCCUGACGUGGGCCAGCUCAGAUGCCUGCUAUAUGGACCAGUCGGUGCAGGAAAGUCCAGCUUCAUCAACUCAGUCAACAAUGUCUUCCAAAAUCGGAUAACAGGUGGUGCCCUGGUAGCUUCUACCUCUGGCACAAGCUUCACCAUGACAUAUGACACACACUACAUUCAAGGCUGUUCAGGAGAAAAACGUCUUCCCUUUGCAUUCAAUGAUGUCAUGGGUCUGGAAACACAAAAAAAUGGGUUGCACCCUGAUGACAUCAUCAAUGCUCUGAAGGGCCAUCUACCAGAGGGCUAUGAGUUCAAUCCUUUCCACCCAUUAUCGGAUCAAAAAAAGGAAUUCAUUCAGAAUCCCAGCUUAAGUGACAAAACUCACAUCCUGGUGAGUAUUGUGUCAGCGGACAAAAUCUCUCGCAUGUCAGUGGAUGUCAUAGACAAGAUGAAGAACGUCAGGGCAGCAGCCAGCAGACUGAGUAAGUAAGCUCUUUAAACUCUGUUUCUCAAUGGUAACUACAACUAUGUCUGGCGAUCAGUUGUCACCUUUCAGCUGUAGCGCUUGACUUUUCACUAUUACAUGACACAGUGUUACUUAUGCCAGUCCUUCUAUUCAUUAAAUAUUCAUUUCUAUGGCAGAAAUCCCUCAGGUUCUUGUCAUGACCAUGCCAGACAAGGCUUGUGAGCUGGUGAACAAGGAUGUGAAGAGAAUCUACUACAGCAAGGCGAUCAAAGAGAAGAUGCAGAUCUGCAGUAAUGAGCUAGGCCUUCCCAUGAACUGCAUCCUGCCGGUGAAGAACUACCACGAGGAGGGGAUGCUGGAUAACGACAUGGAUAUCCUGAUACUGAACGCCAUGACUCAGAUUAUGAACUUUGCCAACGACUACCUCUGGAACCUC